rnacentral:lncRNA from 1 species
CAGAUUUCUUUAAAGGAUAUUUUGCACAGAAGCUUGCUGGGAAAUGUUAUCUAGACACUCUACGAAUAUAAACCUAAUAUAUUUGGCUUUAUGCACCUGAGCUUCUUCAGUAAAUAAACCUGCAGCAUCCUACGGAUCGCUAACAAAGAAUCUGCUGCAAUUUCCACAAUGUAGACAGACUUAUUGUCUAUGCAACAGAUUGUAAUAAACUUUUCAUUGCAAUUUCCCUUGUUUCACUCGAGCUUCACGCAACAUUAACAAAUGUAGUCAAAAGUAGAUAUGUAGUAAUCUGCAUAGUUUAGUAAAUGAUGAGCUUAGAGCUAAACAAUAAUUUAUCAGCAAUGAUAGAAUGAAUUAGAAACUCCAUGUAUUUCUUAAAUUAUGCAUAUAAUUUACUUCCGAAUACGAGAACAGUGAAAACAGGAAGCAGUAAGCACACAGGAACUUUGUUUUACAACUCAUAGUCAAGAUUAGGUAACUUAGAGAAGCAUAUAUUUCAUUUAUUCAUUUAAAACUGAAAAAAUGUGCCUAAUAAUCAAGUUUCAUACAUAUUCUUCUGCGAAGAACGAGUUUCACAGGAGCCACAUGUUCGAGCCAAAAUAAUUAAACAAGCCAAGCCAUAUGUAGAUUCAUCAGCCAGAUAGACAUGAUAACAACAAUUGACAACUUUUUCCAAUAUCAUAAGGAAUUCAAACAACGAAAAGGCUAAUGAUGUUAAGUACCAGACAGUAUGAAUGAUGAAAUGUUUGUAUAAAAAGGGCCUAAUUAGUGAUGGUUUACAACUUGAUCAUUUAAUGAACUCUGUUAAGUACGAGGAAGGUUCUCUAAGGAUAGUGACAUGAAAUGGACUUUGUGCACUACAUCCAAUCACAGGUAGUGAAAGAUUUCAUGUGAUUUUUAUAAUGUUGGCUUGUUAAAGAGUAUUGUCUUUGUUUUAUAAUUUUGAGUAUAAAAAUUGAUUAUAGAAAUUUGAAAAUUCUCAAACCCUAAUAUACUCUCUAUUAUUGAAGUAGCCGUCUCUGUCAUCAGUGGGGCUUCCAUCGGUUUUCAACAGUGGAGAGCCCCAAAUCUUUUGUUUGUUUCAUCUUAUUUUUUUCUUUCAAUAAUCUUACUCGUUGAGGAAGGAUUUGUCUCAUUUGAUUUGUUUUUUAGACCUACAUCAUCGGAGCUUACAGUUUACUUUUUUAUUUGAUUGAAGCGGAGCUUAUCGGAUACGAGAGUUACUCGUUCUUCUUGUGGUUUUGACGGUUAGAUCUAAGUUUUUUUAAUUUUCAUUUGUUUUCAGUCUACUUUUAUUUCGAUUGGUAAUUUGUAUUUUCAGGUUGUUUUCUCUCCCUGGUGAGAGCUUUGUUUUUCGCUUCUUAAUUGUAAGCGGGGUCUUGAUUUGGUGAUGAAAGUUUGUAUGGAAUCGCAAGUCGAUAGCUCAAACGAUAGCUCUAUCAGGGCAUGAUGAAGAGGGUAACAAUAAACGAGAAUGCAUGAAGCGAGUACUUGUAUUAGUAUAUACAUUUUCUUCAAAAAAUUGUUUAAUUGUCUCUUUAUAAGAACAGGCGAUUGCAAUAUACUCUUUGUUCGACUCCAUCAUUGGUGUAGAUGUCGUAUGACUUUUUAUUAUUAGAUUAACACUUUUGUUUCAAAAAAAAUUUGAUUAUAAUGUUCGUUUGGUACCUCACAAACUAACAAAUCUUAAUAGUCCCUUCAAAUAUAUACAGAAAUCUCAUGUAAAUUUGGAUUUUGUACAUACAAAUUCAUGAACUUGUCAAUAAAAUGUAGAUUGUCGGAAUGUAUCUUUUGCAUAAAGAAAUUUCGCCCCUCCAAAUUUUUUCUGGUUCCGUCCCUGCGAACGCUCAAUUCAGCUAUAAAUACAUGAGUAAUAUUGCUCUACAGUAUAUUCUAGAUAUUCACCUCAUACACGCACAGUAAGAAAGAAAGAGGUCAUAGCAAUUGAUAGAAAGAAUGGAAGCAUCAAAAGUAGAAAAAAUAGGGAGGUCUCUCCAGGUACCUUCAGUACAAGAACUGGCCAAGGAUGAAUCUGCCACAGUUCCAUCACAAUACAUUCAUUCUGAUCAAGAUCCUGUAAUUCUCAGUUCGACAGAUCUACCUGAAGUCCCUGUGAUUGAUAUGGAGAUCUUACUUCAUGGAGAUUUAAUGGACGCUGAGCUCAAUAAAUUUCACCAAGCAUGCAAAGAGUGGGGAUUCUUUCAGGUACACUAUGUUUAAGAUUAAUUUAUUUUUUUAGAGGAUGCUACUUGAAAAAAAAAAAAAAAACUAGAUUACAACGCGUCUUUGCAGUUAAUAAACCAUGGUGUUAGCGAUUCAUUACUGGAGAAGGUGAAAACAGAGGUCGUGGAGUUCUUUAAGCUGCCACUUGAAGAGAAGAGAAAGUUUGGUCAACUGGAUGGAGAUAUAGAGGGAUAUGGACAAUCCUUCGUUGUCUCGGAGGAGCAAAAGCUUGAUUGGGCUGAUAUGAUCUACAUGAUCACCCUUCCUACUGAUCUCAGGAAACCGCACUUAUUGCCACAACUACCUCAUUCAUUCAGGUAACACAAAAUUUCUCUUAUAUUAAGGCUUUUGCAGUAAUUUCUCCUACCUCCCGAAUGAGCCAACUGACAUGCAUCAACCCAUAACAAAUAUGCAAAAAUGCUAUAGAGGAUUACGCGGUGGAAUUGAAAAGCCUAGCCAUGAAUAUUCUCAAUCUAAUGGCCAAAGCUCUUCAAAUGAAUCCUGAGGAAAUGGAAGUGCUCUUUGAAGAAGGCAUGCAAUCAAUGAGGAUGAACUACUAUCCUCCAUGCCCUCAACCGGAACAGGUUAUAGGGCUCACGCCCCACAGCGAUGCUACUGGCUUUACUAUACUUUUUCAACUGAAUGAAAUUGACGGCCUACAGAUUAGCAAGGACGGUACUUGGAUUCCAAUAAAACCAUUGCCUUCUGCCUUUGUUAUAAACAUCGGAGAUGUUCUGGAGGUAAAAUUAACUCUUUUAAAUUUUUAUUGCUUGUAAAUGGAUGGACUAACAUGAUUUAAUCUGUAGGUUGUAACUAAUGGAACUUAUCGGAGCAUUGAGCAUAGAGGAGUUGUCAGCUCAGUGAAGGAGAGAAUGUCGAUUGCUACAUUUUUAAGCCCCAAGGUAGAUGCAGAAUUCGGUCCUGCACCAAGCCUUCUCUCGUCCCAAGCUCCUCCAAAGUUUAAAAGGAUUGCCGCUGCAGAUUUCUUUAAAGGAUAUUUUGCCCAGAAGCUUGCUGGGAGAUGUUAUCUAGACACUCUACGAAUAUAAACCUAAUAUAUUCGGCUUUAUGCACCUGAGCUUCUUCAGCAGAGGCGGACGCACGUUCAGGGUCAUGGGGUCACGUGCCCCCAUAUAAUAUUGAGUAUCCCACAAGUAUAUAUAUUUUUGAAAAAUUAAGGAUCAUUUAAUUUAUCUAAUAAGUAAUUUAUAAGUCAAAAAUAUCUCACUAAAACAAAUAAAAGGAAGUUUUAAACAAAUAAUUUAAAUUAAGAUGAAUUUUUGGCUCUAACAAAAAUUUAUGUUCUUUUAUAAUAUCAUUAUUUAUAUGGUGCCCCGUCUUUAUAAUUGUUCUAGAUCCGCCACUGUUCUUCAGUGAAUAAACCUGCAACUUCCUACGUAUCGCUAACAAAGAAUCUGCUGCAAUUUCCACAAUGUAAACAGACUUAUUGUCUAUGCAACAGAUUGUAAUGAACUUUUCAUUGCAAUUUCCCUUGUUUCACUCGAGCUUCACGCAACAUUAACAAAUGUAGUCAAAAGUAGAUAUCUAGUAAUCUGCAUAGUUUAGUAAAUGAUGAGCUUAGAGCUAAACAAUAAUUUAUCAGCAAUGAUAGAAUGAAUUAGAAACUCCAUGUAUUUCUUAAAUUAUGCAUAUAAUUUACUUCCGAAUACGAGAACAGUGAAAACAGGAAGCAGUAAGCACACAGGAACUUUGUUUUACAACUCAUAGUCAAGAUUAGGUAACUUAGAGAAGCA